GGUUCAAGAACUCUUCUGCUUUUCUGGGCUAACUCAAAAGUCCCUGCCUCAAUAGACAUUUGAUGUUUCACAGCCUUUAAUUCUCUGAUUAUUCCACAAAAACUUGAGGAAGAGCUUGUAUUACUUUAUAGCUCACUGUUGUGCCAUUUCAUGUGUAUUGGGGAUUGAACAUUAUGACCCUGAAUCAGAGUCCCCAUAGCCUGUCUUAUAUUCCUGAUAUACAGGUUGGACAGUAGAAGUGUGGGGAGAAGACAGGACACAUCUGCUUUCUUGGACAAGCCUCCAAAGCAUACAUUUGUACUGACAAAUAAAUACAAGUAACAGGAGUAAAAAGCCCAAAGCCAGGUUCACGUAUGAGUGAAAAUGAUGAAAAUUUAUUACAACCCGUGUAUGUAUGUUAAGACACGGAAAGUAAACUAUAGGCUUGUUCGUUUCUUAACUAUGUAAGUGACAGAAUGUGGGCUUUAGAGUCCAGAUUGAGUUUGAA
rnacentral:lncRNA from 1 species